rnacentral:rRNA from 1 species
UACGUAGGGUGCAAGCGUUAAUCGGAAUACUGGGCGUAAAGCGUGCGCAGGCGGUUUUGUAAGCCAGAUGUGAAAUCCCCGGGCUUAACCUGGGAAUGGCAUUUGGGACUGCAAGGCUUGAGUGCGGCAGAGGAGACUGGAAUUCCUGGUGUAGCAGUGAAAUGCGUAGAUAUCAGGAGGAACACCGAUGGCGAAGGCAGGUCUCUGGGCUGACACUGACGCUCAUG